rnacentral:tRNA from 1 species
GAACAGUAGCUUAGUGGUAGAGUGCAUUUUUAGUAUGCAUGAGGCCCUGGGUUCAAUUCCCAGCAUCA